rnacentral:rRNA from 1 species
GAAGUGAUGAAGGACGUGGCUACCGGCGAAACGUUUCGGGGAGUUGGAAGUAAGCUUUGAUCCGAAAGUAUCCGAAUGAGGAAACUCUUAAACUUCUUACUGAAUCUAUAAGUAAAGAAAGAGCAAACCUAGGGAAUUGAAACAUCUUAGUACCUAGAGGAAAAGAAAGUAAAAACGAUUCCCUUAGUAGUGGCGAACGAAAUGGGAAGAGCCUAAACUUUUAGAAAUUAUUUUUAAAAGGGUUGUGGGAUAGAAAAAUCUGAUACCGUAAGGUGAAAAGAUAAAAAAGAAAGAAUGCGAAUUUUUUCUUUUCGAAAUUAGGUGAAAUAAUUGGGAAAUUAUACCGAAGAAAGUGAAAGUCUUGUAACCAAAAAUUUCAAUAAAAAAUUCUAUUCCCGAGUAGCAUGGGGCACGUGGAAUCCCGUGUGAAUCUGCGAGGACCACCUCGUAAGGCUAAAUAUUCCUGGAUGUCCGAUAGCGAAUAGUACCGCGAGGGAAAGGUGAAAAGAACCCCGGGAGGGGAGUGAAAUAGAACGUGAAAUUGCAAGCCCACAAACAGAAGGAGAACGACUUAGCGUUUAACUUCGUGCCUGUUGAAGAAUGUUCCGGCGACUUAUAGUUAGUGGCGGGUUAAAAUAGAGAUAUUGGAGCCAUAGUGAAAGCGAGCUUGAAUAGAGCGUUUGUCACUAGUUAUAGACCCGAACCCGGUUGAUCUAACCAUGGCCAGAAUGAAACUUGGGUAACACUAAGUGGAGGUUCGAACCGACUGAUGUUGAAAAAUCAGCGGAUGAGCUGUGGUUAGGGGUGAAAUGCCAAUCGAAACCGGAGCUAGCUGGUUCUCCCCGAAAUGUAUUUAGGUGCAGCGGUUAAUAUUAUAGCGUAGGGGUAAAGCACUGUUUCGGUGCGGGCUGGUAAUUCGGUACCAAAUCGAGGCAAACUCUGAAUACUACGUGUACAGUUGACCAGUAAGACUAUGGGGGAUAAGCUUCAUAGUCAAGAGGGAAACAGCCCAGAUCACCAGCUAAGGCCCCUAAAUAAUUACUAAGUGAUAAAGGAAGUGGAAAGGCUUAGACAACCAGGAGGUUUGCUUAGAAGCAGCAAUCCUUUAAAAAGUGCGUAAUAGCUUACUGGUCUAGCAAUUCUGCGCCGAAAACUUACGGGACUAAGUAAUUUGCCGAAGCUGUGAGAUAGUUUAUAAAAGAUCCUAGCUUGUGUUAGGACUGACUAUCGGUAGGGGAGCGUUCUGUUGUAGGUUGAAGUGUUAGCGAAAGCGGGCAUGGACGAAACAGAAGUGAGAAUGUCGGAUUGAGUAGCGAAAACAUUGGUGAGAAUCCAAUGCUCCGAAAACCUAAGGUUUCCUCCGCAAGGCUCGUCCACGGAGGGUGAGUCAGGUCCUAAGGUGAGGCUGAAAAGCGUAGUUGAUGGAUAAUAGGUUAAUAUUCCUAUACUGAUUAUUACUGGUAUCGAGGGACGAAGAAGGCUAAACUAGCCAGAGAUUGGUUACUGGUUUAAGGAUUCAAGGUGUUGAAGAUUAGAGAAAAUAAUCUGAGCUGAGAUCUGAAUGCAAGAUUUAAAAAAUCAAAGUAGUUGAUGUCAUACUUCCAAGAAAAGCUCGCUAUGCCUUAAGUAAUAAUUACCUGUACCUUAAACCGACACAGGUAGGUAGGUAGAGAAUACCAAGGAGCGCGGGAGAACCCUCCUUAAGGAACUCGGCAAAAUAGCUCUGUAACUUCGGAAGAAAGAGUGCCUUUUAGGCUGCAAUAUCAAGUUCCAAGCAACUGUUUAGCAAAAACACAGGUCUCCGCUAAGUUGUAAAACGACGUAUGGGGGCUGACGCCUGCCCAGUGCCGGAAGGUUAAAGAAGUCGGUUAGCGUAAGCAAAGCUGGUAACUGAAGCCCCGGUGAACGGCGGCCGUAACUAUAACGGUCCUAAGGUAGCGAAAUUCCUUGUCAGGUAAGUUCUGACCCGCACGAAUGGCGUAAUGAUUUGGAAGCUGUCUCGAGGAGGGACUCGGUGAAAUAGAACUGUCUGUGAAGAUGCGGACUACCUGCGCCUGGACAGUAAGACCCUAUGAAGCUUUACUGUAUCCUGAAAUUGGAUUUCGAUUUUCUUUGCGCAGAAUAGGUGGGAGACUUUGAGAUUAGUCUUUCGGGACUGAAGGAGUCAUUAGUGAGAUACCACUCUUAGAAAAUUAAAAUUCUAACUUCAUACCGUAAGCCGGUUGAAAGACAGUUUCAGGUGGGCAGUUUGACUGGGGCGGUCGCCUCCCAAAAGGUAACGGAGGCGUACAAAGGUUUCCUCAGAUCGGUCAGAAAUCGAUCUUAGAGUGCAAAGGCAAAAGGAAGCUUAACUGUGAGACAAACAAGUCGAGCAGAGACGAAAGUCGGUCUUAGUGAUCUGACGAUGCUGUGUGGAAAGGUCGUCACUCAACGGAUAAAAGUUACUCUAGGGAUAACAGGCUGAUCUCCCCCAAGAGUUCUUAUCGACGGGGAGGUUUGGCACCUCGAUGUCGGCUCAUCGCAUCCUGGGGCGGAAGUACGUCCCAAGGGUUGGGCUGUUCGCCCAUUAAAGCGGUACGUGAGCUGGGUUCAGAACGUCGCGAGACAGUUCGGUCCAUAUCCGGCGUAGGCGUUGGAGUAUUGAGAGUGACCUUUCUCUAGUACGAGAGGACCGAGAAAGACAUACCUCUAGUGUACCAGUUAUCGUGCCAACGGUACACGCUGGGUAGCUAUGUAUGGUUAGGAUAACCGCUGAAAGCAUCU